AGGCCAUUGUGCACAAUACUGCAGCUAUACCACAAUGGAAAAUGAUACCAAGGAGAUCAUUCAUGUCGCAACCAUAGACAAACGGCAGACAUCCUGGAAUUCUGUCAUCAUGGAGAAGCAGGGUUUUAUCGAGACCAUGGACAAGCAUACAUCAGAGAUCAAGCUAGUGGAGAUCUGCACAGAUGCUCACGCCCAGAUUGGAGCACUUAUGAACCCAGACAAAGUCAGAUACAAGGCUCGUGAAAUUCAUCACAGUCUUGACAUGUGGCAUGGUGCCAAAAACCUGGCCAAAAAAAGCGCUGCAGCAGCAAAGAUAAAAGGACAGUCCCUUCUCCUCAACUGGCUGAAAGACAUCAUAAACCAUUUUUGGUGGUGCUGUAAGACAGCUGACACAACUGAGGAGUUUCUUACACUGUGGACUGGUAUCCUUCAUCAUGUCUGUAACCAUCACAGCUGGGAAUAUGGAAGCUGCCAACAUGACCACCUGGAAGACACUCGUGAAAAGGAGUGAAUCAAGAGGGACUCCAAGUGCCACAAUGCGCUGGUGGACAUCGUUUACAACAAGCGUUUGCAGAAGGAUGUACAUAAAUAUCU